rnacentral:rRNA from 1 species
CAGUCGCCGCGGUAAUAUGGAGGGGGCUAGCGUUGUUCGGAAUUACUGGGCGUAAAGCGCACGUAGGCUGCUUUGUAAGUCAGAGGUGAAAGCCUGGUGCUCAACACCAGAACUGCCUUUAAGACUGCAUCGCUUGAACGUCGGAGAGGUGAGUGGAAUUCCGAGUGUAGAGGUGAAAUUCGUAGAUACUCGGAAGAACACCAGUGGCGAAGGCGGCUCACUGGACGACUGUUGACGCUGAGGUACGAAAGCGUGGGGAGCAAACAGGAUUAGAUACCCCUGUAGUCCCUGUCUCUUAUAC